rnacentral:rRNA from 1 species
UACGUAGGGUGCGAGCGUUGUCCGGAAUUAUUGGGCGUAAAGGGCUCGUAGGCGGUUUGUCGCGUCGGGAGUGAAAACACUGGGCUUAACUCAGUGCUUGCUUCCGAUACGGGCAGACUAGAGGUAUUCAGGGGAGAACGGAAUUCCUGGUGUAGCGGUGAAAUGCGCAGAUAUCAGGAGGAACACCGGUGGCGAAGGCGGUUCUCUGGGAAUGUCCUGACGCUGAGGAGCGAAAGUGUGGGGAGCAAACGGG